GAAACCCAGGAGGCCCCUCCGGGCACCGGGGUCGCCCCCACACACCUCCGCAAGAGAUGUGAUGCUGUUUAUAGACUGACGCCCGGCCCCCGGUGGGGCGCACCCUCAGCAGAGAGCUCCCCCAGCCUUUUGCCGGAGGAUGUCUCUUUUGCGCACGUCACUCCCACCCAGCCCGGCGUAGACCCUUCUCAAACAGACGCCCGGCGGUUCACAAAACCCUCUCCCUCUUCCAGUAGGAAACCCCUGAGGGGGGAGGGGGUGGGCGCAGAAGGAGACGCACACGGCCCCGACCGUCUCUGCCUCACCCCCCACCCCCCAGGCUGCCAGCAUCUGGAGCCGCGUCCCCACGCCCGCCACGCGCGCAUACACGCACACACACAGACUCACGCUCGCACGGACACACUCACACCCGCGCGCAGACCCCGCCCGCGGCCCCGCCCCGGCCCCUGCGGGCGCCCCCUCCGGCGCGCGCGGACCCGGCACGCAGCCCGCCCCGGCCGGCGGGAGGCGGCGGCUUCGGGCAGAUUUGAUUUUCCCGCAGCCCGGGCGCCCCGGAGCCCCAGCCGGAGCCGAGGAGGUGGCGCGCGCAGCCGGGUCCCCGGCCCCGCUGCCGCCCGCGCCGAGACCCAGCGAGGGGCGGCGCAGCCCGGGCGCUCCCGGCGUCCGGCCACCCCCGCGCCCGAGCCGGCCCCCCACGCCCCUCUCCCUCUCCCUCACCCCUUCUGUUCCCCACCCGAAGCCGCACGCUCCUCUCCCCAAACCCCUCUCCACGACUCCGCGCGUGCCUCCCGGUGCCCUCUCCCCGCGCCCCUCCGCCUCUCUCCGCUGCACCCCAGCUCCCUGGGCACCUCGCCCCUCUCCGCUGCCCCCGCCCCGGCCUCCUCGUCGCGUCACCUGCACCCCCUCCUCUACCCGCGGCCCCCGCUCCCUCCGCCCCCCUUCCCUCUCUCACUUCCCACGCCCCCUCUUCGCGCUCCUCUCUCCUCCCUUUGCCGCCCAGCGCCGGCUCCGGAGUUGGGGGAGAGCCCAGGGUUUCAGUCGCUUUGGAGGAGGCGUGAAUCGCGCAGGGAUUGA
rnacentral:lncRNA from 1 species